rnacentral:rRNA from 1 species
GUACACUCCUACGGGAGGCAGCAGUAGGGAAUCUUCCACAAUGGGUGCAAACCUGAUGGAGCAAUGCCGCGUGAGUGAAGAAGGUCUUCGGAUCGUAAAGCUAUGUUGUUAGAGAAGAACACGUGCUAGGUAACUACUAGCGCCUUGACGGUAUCUAACCAGAAAGUCACGGCUAACUACGUGCCAGCAGCCGCGGUAAUACGUAGGUGACAAGCGUUGUCCGGAUUUAUUGGGCGUAAAGGGAGCGCAGGCGGUCUGUUUAGUCUAAUGUGAAAGCCCACGGCUUAACCGUGGAAAGGCAGUGGAAACUGACAGACUUGAAUGUAGAAGAGAAAAAUGGAAUUCCAAGUGUAGCGGUGGAAUGCGUAGAUAUUUGGAGGAACACCAGUGGCGAAGGCGAUUUUCUGGUCUAACAUUGACGCUGAGGCUCGAGAGCGUAGGGAGCGAACAGGAUUAGAAACCCGGGGAGUCCC